rnacentral:rRNA from 1 species
UAUGUAGUUUAAUUCGAUGCAACGCGAAGAACCUUACCUGGUCUUGACAUCCCGGAGACCCUUAGGAAACUAGGGGUGCUUCCAUCUGGAAGAAUCUGGAGACAGGUGCUGCAUGGCUGUCGUCAGCUCGUGUCGUGAGAUGUUGGGUUAAGUCCCGCAACGAGCGCAACCCUUGCCUUUAGUUGCCAGCAGUUCGGCUGGGCACUCUAAAGGGACUGCCGGUGUUAAACCGGAGGAAGGUGGGGAUGACGUCAAGUCCUCAUGGCCUUUAUGACCAGGGCUACACACGUACUACAAUGGCCGAUACAAAGGGCAGCGACACUGCGAGGUGAAGCCAAUCCCGUAAAAUCGGUCUCAGUCCGGAUUGGAGUCUGCAACUCGACUCCAUGAAGUUGGAAUCGCUAGUAAUCGUGGAUCAGCAUGCCACGGUGAAUACGUUCCCGGGCCUU